UUGACAGUGAAAUUCAACAAAACAAAAACCGAUUCCCAAAACCCUAAUCCCCAAACCCCAACAUCAAUGGCCGACGUCAAAGCAGUUGAUGAAGGAGGCGAAUUCCCCGAGAAACGCAAGCUUGAUCCCCCAAAUUCCAUAAACAAAGCCCUAGACGAUUCGAUUAAGAGGCAGAAAAUUGAAUUUCCCACCGGCAAAAAUGGCUCCGUUCCACUCGUCGCUGGUGAUGCAGCGAAAUCGGAGGAGCAUUUGAAUGCCGUUGCUGCUGCUGCGGAGGAAGACGACGACGAUGAUGAAGACGAGGAAGACUAUACUGCCGAGCAAGACGAAGAUGCAGACGAGGAGGCAAACGUGGAAGCCAGCAGAAAAGGGAAGGGGAUCGUGGUGGACAGGAAAGGGAAGGGCAAAAUGAUUGAAGACUCCGACAACGACGAUUCUGAUGGCCAUGUAGAUGACGACGACGGCUCGAGUGAUGAUUCCGACAGUGAUUUCUCCGAUGGACUUGAUGAGAGUGAUCUGGAGGAUGACCCGCUUGCUGAGGUUGAUUUGGACAACAUUUUGCCGUCAAGGACCAGGCGGAGUCGAGCGCAACCUGGGGUCCGGUUUUCUAAUGAUCCUGGCAAGGGAAAAGAAGGUUGUUAUUGCAGCUCUUGUUUAAGGACCUGCUUUUACUGGGAUUUCAAGCAACUAUAUGACAAAUGUAAGACCACAGCAACCAGCAUACUCAUAAUGAAUGAAGGACAGGGAUGGACCACAUUUUUGGAUUUAUUUCUACAAUUUAUGCUUGAUGCAGCUUUCAAGUGGAAGGAUCCUGGUUGCUUUCUCUGCUUGGCGUCUAGGGCUAUAGAUUCUUCAACAAUAUAAACUUAUUUGGUCUGAUUCAUGAUAUGAUCGUCAGUGCUUGGUGUUGAAAAAGUGUCAGCACCAAAGGAACAAAGAGAUGCUCCACAAUAUGAAGACUAGAUUCCUACAUCAUGGCUCAGAGGUAGAAUUAGGUUUGCAGACUUGUCUUUUUAGCUUUGAGGCAUCAUUCAACAGUAUAAAGCAUGUGCAAUACCGUUUUGAUGUGAUAACUUAAUAUCAUAUGCAGAUUCUAGGGGGUUCGAUAUUUGUUAAUUUUCAAGGGAUUUGGUGUUAUGUAAGGUAAGAUUUUUAGCAUUGUUAA